GGUGGCUCAGUGGUAGAGUGCUUGCCUAACAUGCAUGAAGCCCUGGGUUCGAUUCCUCAGUACCA
rfam:Dipodomys ordii contig_46351, whole genome shotgun sequence.